GUGCUCGCUUUGGCAGCAUAUAUUACUGAAACUGGGAAGAUAUAGAGAAGAUUAGCAUGGCCCCGGAGCAAGGAGGGCACACAAGUUCAUGAAAUGUUCCAUAUUUUU
ensembl:snRNA U6 U6 spliceosomal RNA